AAAAAAAAAAAAAAUACUAAACUAUAACCGAACAACGAGCGACAUUUCUCGUUUUACCGCGUUCGAUUGGACAGAAAUUCAAAACAACGCGUUUAGUCUGAAAGUUAUUCCGAAUUCAAACCGACCGGUUAGUUUUCAAGCUCCGAAUCGGUUAUGCAUACUGACACUAAUGUAACUUUUCUACUCAGUCCUAAACCGUCUAAUACGGCGGUGUCCAGCUUUGACGGCGGUCACCGCCUAUAAUACGUACCGAUGUUAUAGUGGUUACACGGGUAAGGCGCUCGUUACAAUAAUAUCGUAUUCAAUAAAUAUAAAUAAUUCGAGUCGAAUACAAUUCCUUCGAACGCGAACGAAUUAUCAUAUAUAGCGAGC